GCUAAUUUUCAAGUGUAAUAUGCUCUAAAAAGACACAAAGACAUUCUCGGCCUCUGGCCACUGUUAGUGAAGCCUCGGAUGCUGAUGAUGCUGGUAAGUACAUUAGCAUUGGGUGUGUUUUUACUAAAAUGUUGAUCCAAUAUUAAUUGUUAUUGAUGUAUUUUUAAAGGUCCAUCAACACACGUAAUGCCUACGUGGAAGCGCAGUCUGGGAGUGUCUUCCAGAGCAACCCAAGAGCCUCCACCACAUCAAAGAAUCUCACAGGUCUCAGACGUGCCCCCACAGCAACUGCUCGACAGUCCGCCGCCCAUGUCAACCCAAGUCCAAGACCUGCCUGCCGACAAUAUGCUUCAGCUAAGUCAGCCAGGACAACUGCCUGAACCAGACAGUAAGGAAACAUGUACCCUCAACCUCACUGCAAUACCACCACAUGACCAAACACCCACACAGUUUGGUACUCCGCCCACUCAACAAACACUUGCGCAGGGCAGAAGCACAACCACACUUACACCACAGGCUCAAGACCAGGCUUUUUGGAAUAGCUGGUCCACCCAGCAAGCAAAUAAUUUAGAAUGUUUGUGAAGGCAAACACAAUGUAUUUCAAGUAUAGCCCAUCACGUUCCUAGACUCAGCAGAAGCAACAGCAGACAAACUGCAGAACUAACCAGGAUGGCCAACACCCUAGAAUUAUUGAGGGCAGACACCAAUCGUAUGAUAGACACAUUUCAACGAGUCAUAGAUGACAAUCACAGGCUCCAUCAAGCCUACUUGCAGAUCAUAACUGCAACACAAAAUACCCAAGACACCAUGGUCAGAAUCAUGGAGAGCCACACGUCUGCCACAAGAGAGUUAAAUGUAACUCUUACAACCCUUACCCAACAUCUCAGUCAUCAAGGGGAGCAGACCAGUUCAAGUUCCUCAACCACAACCCCCUUAGUGACACCUGUAACGUCCCCACCCAGACGUUCAGGCCGAACAUGACCAUACACCAGUGGGAAAGGGCCUUCCAGCUCAAGAGGACAACCUGCUAAAUAAAUGCAAAGUGUUGGAAAUAUUUUUUUAUUUUUUUUUUGCUAGUUGCAUUGUUGUUUUUGUGUACACAAUUCAGAAAUGGGUUUACUUAGGAUAUCAAAUGUACUUUUGAUACACAUUCACAAGUAAUAACAAAUUAAAACAUCCAAAAAUUG